GGGCACUUGGCACAGUUGGUAGCGCGCACGCUUCGCAAAGCUCCUGCGUGAGGUCGGGAGUUCGACUCUCCCAGUGUCCA